rnacentral:rRNA from 1 species
UACGGAGGAUGCGAGCGUUAUCCGGAUUCAUUGGGUUUAAAGGGUGCGUAGGCGGAAUUGUAAGUCAGCGGUGAAAUCCCGGUCGCUUAACGAUGGGACUGCCGUUGAAACUGCGAUUCUUGAGACCGGACGAAGCGGGCGGAAUGCGUGGUGUAGCGGUGAAAUGCUUAGAGAUCACGCAGAACUCCGAUUGCGAAGGCAGCUCGCUAGGGCGUAUCUGACGCUGAAGCACGAAAGCGUGGGGAUCAAA